UACGGAGGGGGCUAGCGUUGUUCGGAAUUACUGGGCGUAAAGGGCGCGCAGGCGGCUGCUCAAGUCAGGCGUGAAAGGCCUGGGCUCAACCCGGGAAUUGCGCUUGAGACUGGGCUGGCUUGAGUGCGGGAGAGGAUGGUGGAAUUCCCAGUGUAGAGGUGAAAUGCGUAGAUAUUGGGAGGAACACCAGUGGCGAAGGCGGCUCACUGGACCGGAACUGACGCUGAGGCGCGAAAGCGUGGGGAGCAAACAGG
rnacentral:rRNA from 1 species